GCCCAGUGAUGAGACCAAGGCGAAUACGAGCUUACUGUAUGAGAGCUUGGUUCUUUUUUGCCUCGGCUGGCAGGUAAUCUUGGCAGUACAGAAGAGAAUUCCUGCUCUGCUGUAAAGGCCUGCCUACAGUGACUUAGCGCAACCCAAAUUAUUCCUUUAAAGUUACAGUGGAGUAAUCAAGGGGAUAAAGCUGACAGCGUGUGUGUAUGUUUGUGCACGUGUGUAAGAGGCAAGGAGUUCACCCAGCUCUCUUAGCUGUUCAGUCAGCCAUGAGUUGCUUCUUUGGUAAUCUGAGGGCC